rnacentral:rRNA from 1 species
UACAGAGGUCCCAAGCGUUGUUCGGAUUCACUGGGCGUAAAGGGUGCGUAGGUGGUUAGGUAAGUCCGAUGUGAAAUCUCCAGGCUCAACCUGGAAAUGGCAUUGGAUACUAUUUAGCUUGAGGAGUGGAGGGGGGACUGGAAUUCUCGGUGUAGCAGUGAAAUGCGUAGAUAUCGAGAGGAACACCAGUGGCGAAGGCGAGUCCCUAGACACUUCCUGACACUGAGGCACGAAAGCUAGGGGAGCAAACAGG